rnacentral:rRNA from 1 species
GGGUUGUGAGGUUAAGCGACUAAGCGUACACGGUGGAUGCCCUGGCAGUCAGAGGCGAUGAAGGACGUGCUAAUCUGCGAUAAGCGUCGGUAAGGUGAUAUGAACCGUUAUAACCGGCGAUUUCCGAAUGGGGAAACCCAGUGUGAUUCGUCACACUAUCAUUAACUGAAUCCAUAGGUUAAUGAGGCGAACCGGGGGAACUGAAACAUCUAAGUACCCCGAGGAAAAGAAAUCAACCGAGAUUCCCCCAGUAGCGGCGAGCGAACGGGGAGCAGCCCAGAGCCUGAAUCAGUGUGUGUGUUAGUGGAAGCGUCUGGAAAGGCGUGCGAUACAGGGUGACAGCCCCGUACACAAAAAUGCACAUGCUGUGAGCUCGAUGAGUAGGGCGGGACACGUGGUAUCCUGUCUGAAUAUGGGGGGACCAUCCUCCAAGGCUAAAUACUCCUGACUGACCGAUAGUGAACCAGUACCGUGAGGGAAAGGCGAAAAGAACCCCGGCGAGGGGA